GAUGAACGCUGGCGGCGUGCCUAAUACAUGCAAGUCGAGCGAACGGACGAGAAGCUUGCUUUUCUGAUGUUAGCGGCGGACGGGUGAGUAACACGUGGAUAACCUACCUAUAAGACUGGGAUAACUUCGGGAAACCGGAGCUAAUACCGGAUAAUAUUUUGAACCGCAUGGUUCAAAAUUGAAAGACGGUCUUGCUGUCACUUAUAGAUGGAUCCGCGCUGCAUUAGCUAGUUGGUAAGGUAACGGCUUACCAAGGCAACGAUGCAUAGCCGACCUGAGAGGGUGAUCGGCCACACUGGAACUGAGACACGGUCCAGACUCCUACGGGAGGCAGCAGUAGGGAAUCUUCCGCAAUGGGCGAAAGCCUGACGGAGCAACGCCGCGUGAGUGAUGAAGGUCUUCGGAUCGUAAAACUCUGUUAUUAGGGAAGAACAUAUGUGUAAGUAACUGUGCACAUCUUGACGGUACCUAAUCAGAAAGCCACGGCUAACUACGUG
rnacentral:rRNA from 1 species